GACGAACGCUGGCGGCGUGCCUAAUACAUGCAAGUAGAACGCUGAAGGAGGAGCUUGCUUCUCUGGAUGAGUUGCGAACGGGUGAGUAACGCGUAGGUAACCUGCCUGGUAGCGGGGGAUAACUAUUGGAAACGAUAGCUAAUACCGCAUAAGAGUAGAUGUUGCAUGACAUUUACUUAAAAGGUGCAAUUGCAUCACUACCAGAUGGACCUGCGUUGUAUUAGCUAGUUGGUGAGGUAACGGCUCACCAAGGCAACGAUACAUAGCCGACCUGAGAGGGUGAUCGGCCACACUGGGACUGAGACACGGCCCAGACUCCUACGGGAGGCAGCAGUAGGGAAUCUUCGGCAAUGGACGGAAGUCUGACCGAGCAACGCCGCGUGAGUGAAGAAGGUUUUCGGAUCGUAAAGCUCUGUUGUAAGAGAAGAACGAGUGUGGGAGUGGAAAGUUCACACUGUGACGGUAUCUUACCAGAAAGGGACGGCUAACUACGUG
rnacentral:rRNA from 1 species